rnacentral:rRNA from 1 species
GAUGAACGCUGGCGGCGUGCCUAAUACAUGCAAGUCGAGCGAACGGACGAGAAGCUUGCUUCUCUGAUGUUAGCGGCGGACGGGUGAGUAACACGUGGAUAACCUACCUAUAAGACUGGGAUAACUUCGGGAAACCGGAGCUAAUACCGGAUAAUAUUUUGAACCGCAUGGUUCAAAAGUGAAAGACGGUCUUGCUGUCACUUAUAGAUGGAUCCGCGCUGCAUUAGCUAGUUGGUAAGGUAACGGCUUACCAAGGCAACGAUGCAUAGCCGACCUGAGAGGGUGAUCGGCCACACUGGAACUGAGACACGGUCCAGACUCCUACGGGAGGCAGCAGUAGGGAAUCUUCCGCAAUGGGCGAAAGCCUGACGGAGCAACGCCGCGUGAGUGAUGAAGGUCUUCGGAUCGUAAAACUCUGUUAUUAGGGAAGAACAUAUGUGUAAGUAACUGUGCACAUCUUGACGGUACCUAAUCAGAAAGCCACGGCUAACUACGUGCCAGCAGCCGCGGUAAUACGUAGGUGGCAAGCGUUAUCCGGAAUUAUUGGGCGUAAAGCGCGCGUAGGCGGUUUUUUAAGUCUGAUGUGAAAGCCCACGGCUCAACCGUGGAGGGUCAUGGGAAACUGGAAAACUUGAGUGCAGAAGAGGAAAGUGGAAUUCCAUGUGUAGCGGUGAAAUGCGCAGAGAUAUGGAGGAACACCAGUGGCGAAGGCGACUUUCUGGUCUGUAACUGACGCUGAUGUGCGAAAGCGUGGGGAUCAAACAGGAUUAGAUACCCUGGUAGUCCACGCCGUAAACGAUGAGUGCUAAGUGUUAGGGGGUUUCCGCCCCUUAGUGCUGCAGCUAACGCAUUAAGCACUCCGCCUGGGGAGUACGACCGCAAGGUUGAAACUCAAAGGAAUUGACGGGGACCCGCACAAGCGGUGGAGCAUGUGGUUUAAUUCGAAGCAACGCGAAGAACCUUACCAAAUCUUGACAUCCUUUGACAACUCUAGAGAUAGAGCCUUCCCCUUCGGGGGACAAAGUGACAGGUGGUGCAUGGUUGUCGUCAGCUCGUGUCGUGAGAUGUUGGGUUAAGUCCCGCAACGAGCGCAACCCUUAAGCUUAGUUGCCAUCAUUAAGUUGGGCACUCUAAGUUGACUGCCGGUGACAAACCGGAGGAAGGUGGGGAUGACGUCAAAUCAUCAUGCCCCUUAUGAUUUGGGCUACACACGUGCUACAAUAGACAAUACAAAGGGCAGCGAAACCGCGAGGUCAAGCAAAUCCCAUAAAGUUGUUCUCAGUUCGGAUUGUAGUCUGCAACUCGACUACAUGAAGCUGGAAUCGCUAGUAAUCGUAGAUCAGCAUGCUACGGUGAAUACGUUCCCGGGUCU